rnacentral:rRNA from 1 species
UACAGAGGGGGCAAGCGUUGUUCGGAAUUACUGGGCGUAAAGGGCGCGUAGGCGGCCUUCUAAGUCGAACGUGAAAUCCCCGGGCUCAACCCGGGAACUGCGUCCGAUACUGGAAGGCUUGAAUCCGGGAGAGGGAUGCGGAAUUCCAGGUGUAGCGGUGAAAUGCGUAGAUAUCUGGAGGAACACCGGUGGCGAAGGCGGCAUCCUGGACCGGCAUUGACGCUGAGGCGCGAAAGC